UCACGGUCAGGAACAGGGAAGAUUUCAAUUUGACUGUUUGUUAGGAGGCCUAAGAGGCAGAUGUCAGCACCCGAACAAACUCCAAUCACAGCAGCGUGCCAUUUGCACUAGCACCAUGCCAGUGACCAUGUGGGCAGCAGGAUUAUCCCCAACUUCCUGGUGGAGAGCCAAAAGCAUGAUGGGAAACAGGAAAUUGACAAGUGACCUGACAGGAGGACUGUCAUCUGCUGCGGAGCUGAGUGAAGCCAAGAUGACAUAACAACAUGGUUGCUGAAACGUUUUGUUUUAGAUGACAUUUCCUUUUGUUUUACGUGUCUCCAUGAAAUAUCUGGGUAAAUACCUGUUACAGAAGCGUACAUUAAUGCAAUAAUGUACCAUUCCUCACAGCGGUUAGUACUGUGUAUUUAGCUAGAUUGAUAUGUUCUGCUGCUUGGCUGACUCUGGAUGUAUUACAAAUGUGAACAAUGUGAACAAUUGAUCUGAACAAAUGUCUGUCUUUACACCGCAUGUGAACAUGGUCUUCUGUCCGCAUGCAUGACCUCUCCUGAAGGACAAAGACAGUCUCAUAUUUCACCCAUUAAAACAAUUGUUCUGCUCUAAAGUCACCUUGUCCCUGCAGUAGCAGCAGCACACUGCAGAGAAGGCCCCCAGCUACUCUCUCUCUCCCCCCUCCUCUCUGUUGGGCAGUAACUGAUUACAUGUAAUCUGAUUACCAAAAACAACGGCGUAAUCAGGUACAUUACCAGAAAAAAUGUUGCAAUCAAAUUACAGAUACUUUUGAAAAAAUACUAGAUGAUUACUUCUUGGAUUACUUUUCAAAAAUAAAUACAUUGACACCA